rnacentral:rRNA from 1 species
AACGUAGGAGACAAACGUUAUCCGGAGUUACUGGGCGUAAAGGGCGUGUAGGUGGUAGUGUAAGUCUGGCGUGAAAUUUUUCGGCUUAACCGGGAAAGGUCGUCGGAUACUGCACAACUAGAGGACGGUAGAGGCGUGUGGAAUUCCGGGUGUAGUGGUGAAAUGCGUAGAGAUCCGGAGGAACACCAGUGGCGAAGGCGACACGCUGGGCCGUACCUGACACUGAGGCGCGAUAGCAUGGGGGAGCAAACAGG